UUUCUUUUCUUUUCAGCCUCAUUUGCUCACCCUCUCUACGUCCCACCUUCUCUCUUCCUCUCAUUUCUUCAAUAAUUCUUUUCUCUUAUCUCUUUUAUUGCCUCCCCUUGAAACCUCAUGUUUUCUCUUUCAUUGACGUCGCCCUAGUGAUCAGCCACCACUACUGUUGCCCCUUUUGUUUCUCCUCUCCUUCUUUCAUUUUCUCUCAUUCUUUUGUUGACGAAACCACCAUUCAUCUUUGGUCAGAUCUUUUUUGGCCCUUUGCAAGUGAUCAAUCCGUUUUGUGAUUAUUUGUUAUCAAAGGUCUGAGAUCCGCGAAGUGUUCAUAUUCAAAUCACUCAGAUCAAUGGUGACAUCAAACAUUAUUCGCGUCUUCGUCUUAAGUUGAAAUAGUACUAGUGUACAAAUUAAACCAGAUUUAAUCAGAUCUGAAGCAUAGGAGCUGCAGACUAGUGUUAGUGCUUCAGAUAUGCAUUAUUCAGAUGGAGGAGAUCCAUGGAGUACGGACAGUUUAUCUGUCAUAUUAUACUGGCAAUUAAUCUACAACCCUGAAGUCAUGUUCGGAGUACUGACGGUUUAUCCGAAAAUUACUAGUAGUUUAUCCACAAAUUAUUGGCAAUCAAUUGAAAAAAUUGUCAAUGGUGGUUUAUCCACAUUGAGCUAAGACUCUUACUGUUUUAGUGUUCGAAUGUUGAGCUUUGGGGAACUCAUAGUGUGUAGCAGAUGGAUGG